rnacentral:rRNA from 1 species
GCAGCAGUGGGGAUAUUGCACAAUGGGGGAAACCCUGAUGCAGCCAUGCCGCGUGUGUGAAGAAGGCCUUCGGGUUGUAAAGCACUUUCAGUAGGGAGGAAAGGGUGUAGUUUAAUACGCUAUAUCUGUGACGUUACCUACAGAAGAAGGACCGGCUAACUCCGUGCCAGCAGCCGCGGUAAUACGGAGGGUCCGAGCGUUAAUCGGAAUUACUGGGCGUAAAGCGUGCGCAGGCGGUUUGUUAAGCGAGAUGUGAAAGCCCUGGGCUCAACCUAGGAAUAGCAUUUCGAACUGGCGAACUAGAGUCUUGUAGAGGGGGGUAGAAUUCCAGGUGUAGCGGUGAAAUGCGUAGAGAUCUGGAGGAAUACCGGUGGCGAAGGCGGCCCCCUGGACAAAGACUGACGCUCAUGCACGAAAGCGUGGGGAGCAAACAGGAUUAGAUACCCUGGUAGUCCACGCCGUAAACGAUGUCUACUCGGAGUUUGGUGUCUUGAACACUGGGCUCUCAAGCUAACGCAUUAAGUAGACCGCCUGGGGAGUACGGCCGCAAGGUUAAAACUCAAAUGAAUUGACGGGGGCCCCGCACAAGA